AUCACGUUAAGUUGCAAGCGUACCUGGCAGCUUGUCUGCUUGCCCUGUCUCGUUUCUGAGUUGUCUGUUUGUCCGUGUGGUUAAAUACGGCUUUGUCGGAAUUUGGACAAGUCUUAAACGUUCCAUUGAAAGGAAUAGAGGAAUACACGGACUGCAAUCAACGUUGUGUUUGAAGCUUCCGGGACUUGCGACUACAUUAUCAUUCUUUAUAGCAUCAGAAUUAGUAGAACUGCGCAGAAUACGUGUGACGGUGGAAGCAGGCAAGUUGUCAGAUGCGCCGAAGAUUUCACAGUUCUCAAAAGUGUGUACUUGCUUUAAAAUGCGUGAUAUAUUGUGAUAACGAUCCUAUUCUUGGUGCGAGUGAAUUGCAGUGAAUAUUUUAAGUGCAACUCAGAAGACAUUCGUAAGACAGUAAACACGUCGAGAAAAGAAAAAUGAAUGCAUCAAAAUCCAAUCUAAAUUACGUUUAGGCAAAAAGCUCGUUCAUUGAGCUACGCUGUUACACGAACAGUUUUAACCACGCACUGGGAAAAGCAUAUGAGACCUCUUGUUUAUAUUUGUGAGGAACAAGUGAAAGCUCUGAAUGCAAAGGUUGUAUUAAUUCGUCUGCAAAGCAAGAACCCGGCACCAUUGCAAGAACUGGCCUCCAAAGGUAUGCAGAACACUUAAGAAGGCGAAGAAUCCUCAGGGCGAAUGAAGCGGAUUUUGCAGUAAAAUUUUUGGAUGAUGUAAGCAUAAACAAGAAUAUUCCGCACUGAAGAGCAAGUAGCUAUUUUCCAGAUUUGUUCUUCAUUAAUCUUGAAUU